CACGUAGGGGGCGAGCGUUGUCCGGAUUUAUUGGGCGUAAAGAGCUCGUAGGCGGUUCGGCAAGUCGGGUGUGAAAUUUCGAGGCUCAACCUCGAAACGCCACUCGAUACUGCUGUGACUGGAGUCCGGUAGAGGAGUGCGGAAUUCCUGGUGUAGCGGUGAAAUGCGUAGAGAUGUGGAGGAACACCAGUGGCGAAGGCGACUCUUUGGUCUGUAACUGACGCUGAGGCGCGAAAGCGUGGGGAGCAAACAGG
rnacentral:rRNA from 1 species